UACAGGGGGUGCUAGCGUUGUUCGGAUUUACUGGGCGUAAAGGGCGCGUAGGCGGCUUAACAAGUCACUUGUGAAAUCUCCGGGCUUAACUCGGAACGGCCAAGUGAAACUGUCAAGCUAGAGUGCAGAAGGGGCAAUCGGAAUUCUUGGUGUAGCGGUGAAAUGCGUAGAUAUCAAGAGGAACACCUGAGGUGAAGACGGGUUGCUGGGCUGACACUGACGCUGAGGCGCGAAAGCCAGGGGAGCAAACGGG
rnacentral:rRNA from 1 species